GCCGUGCAUGGCCUUGAACUGGAGGCGCUGCGCCUGAGUCUGAGCAACAUGCACACGGCGCAGCUGGAGCUGACACAGGCCAACCUCCAGAAGGAGAAGGAGACGGCAUUGACGGAGCUGCGGGAGAUGCUCAACAGCCGGCGUGCCCAGGAGCUGGCCCUGCUACAGAGCAGGCAGCAGCACGAGCUGGAGCUCCUCAGGGAGCAGCACGCACGGGAGAAGGAGGAGGUGGUGCUCAGGUGUGGACAGGAAGCAGCUGAGCUGAAGGAGAAGUUACAAUCAGAAAUGGAGAAAAACGCCCAGAUAGUAAAGACCCUGAAGGAAGAUUGGGAAUCUGAAAAAGAUUUAUGUUUAGAAAAUCUACGCAAAGAAUUGUCUGCAAAGCAUCAAUCAGAAAUGGAGGAUUUACAAAACCAGUUUCAGAAAGAAUUGGCAGAACAGAGAGCUGAGUUGGAGAAGAUUUUUCAAGACAAAAACCAGGCUGAACGGGCCCUUAGGAACCUGGAGAGUCAUCAUCAAGCAGCCAUUGAGAAGUUACGUGAAGACCUGCAGUCCGAGCACGGCCGGUGUUUAGAAGACUUGGAGUUUAAGUUCAAAGAGAGCGAGAAAGAAAAACAGCUGGAGUUAGAGAAUCUUCAAGCAUCGUAUGAAGACCUGAAGGCGCAAUCACAAGAAGAGAUCAGGCGCUUGUGGUCCCAGCUUGAUUCUGCCAGGACCAGUAGACAGGAAUUGAGUGAGCUACAUGAGCAACUCCUGGCGCGCGCCUCUCGUGUGGAAGAUUUAGAACAGCUGAAGCAGCGAGAAAAAACCCAGCAUGAGUCCGAACUGGAGCAACUGAGGAUUUAUUUUGAAAAGAAGUUAAGGGAUGCUGAGAAAACUUACCAAGAAGACCUAACCCUGUUACAGCAGAGGCUGCAGGGGGCGAGGGAAGAUGCUCCUCUGGACUCUGUGGAAGUUGGGUUGUCCUGUGUGGGUUUAGAAGAGAAACCUGAGAAAGGAAGAAAAGAUCACGUUGAUGAACUCGAGCCUGAGCGACAUAAGGAGAGCCUGCCACGCUUCCAGGCGGAGUUAGAAGAAAGCCACAGGCACCAGCUGGAAGCGCUGGAGUCUCCCCUCUGCAUCCAGCACGAGGGGCAUGUCUCAGACAGAUGCUGCGUAGAGACUUCAGCAUUGGGACACGAGUGGCGUCUGGAGCGCUCUGAAGGGCACAGCCAAGAGCUUCCCUGGGUGCAUCUCCAGGGUGUGCAGGACGGGGACUUGGAGGCCGACACAGAGGGGGCAGCCAGAGUCUUGGGUCUGGAAACUGAGCACAAGGUGCAACUUUCGCUUCUUCAGACUGAGCUCAAGGAAGAAAUUGAACUCCUAAAAAUAGAAAAUAGAAAUUUGUAUGAGAAGUUGCAGCAUGAAACUCAUCUGAAGGACGAUUUGGAGAAGGUAAAACACAAUCUAAUUGAAGACCACCAGAAGGAACUAAAUAAUGCUAAGCAAAAGACUGAGCUGAUGAAACAGGAAUUCCAAAGAAAAGAAACGGACUGGAAAGUUUUGAAGGAGGAGCUACAGCGGGAAGCUGAGGAGAAGUUAACGUCGAUGCUACUUGAACUGAGAGAAAAGGCUGAAUCCGAGAAACAGACCAUCAUAAACAAGUUUGAGCUUCGAGAAGCUGAAAUGAGGCAGCUUCAGGACCAACAGGCAGCCCAGAUCCUGGAUCUGGAGAGGUCCUUGACGGAGCAGCAGGGCCGCCUGCAGCAGCUGGAACAGGACCUCACUUCAGACGACGCCCUGCAUUGCAGCCAGUGUGGGCGGGAGCCGCCCACAGCCCAGGACGGGGAGCUUGCCGCGCUCCACGUGAAGGAAGACUGCGCCCUGCAGCUGAUGCUGGCCCGGAGCAGGUUUUUAGAGGAACGUAAAGAGAUCACCGAGAAAUUCAGUGCGGAACAAGAUGCCUUCCUGCAGGAGGCCCAGGAGCAGCAUGCCCGUGAGCUGCGGCUCCUCCAGGAGAGACACCAGCAGCAGCUCCUGUCAGUGACGGCGGAGCUCGAGGCCAGACACCAGGCCGCGUUGGGCGAGCUGACAGCCUCCUUAGAGAGCAAGCAGGGGGCUCUGCUGGCUGCACGUGUGGCCGAAAUGCAGACAAAACACGCUGCCGACCUCAGCGCUCUGGAGACCAGACAUCUGUCCAGCCUUGAUUCUUUGGAAUCCUGUUACCUGUCUGAAUUUCAGACCAUCCGUGAGGAGCACAGGCAGGCCCUAGAGCUCUUACGAGCAGACUUUGAGGAACAGCUGCAGAAAAAGGACUCUCUUCACCAAACGAUUUUGACUCAAGAGUUGGAGAAACUGAAGCGGAAACAUGACAGGGAGCUACAGUCUGUGCGGGACCACCUGCGAACCAAAGUGAGCACAGAGCUCGCCGGAACCGUGGCUCACGAGCUGCAGGGAGUGCACCAGGGUGAAUUUGGAAGUGAAAAGAAAACUGCUUUGCAUGAAAAAGAGGAGACACUUCAGCUUCAGAGUGCACAGCCACAGCCUUUUCACCAAGAGGAGAAAGAGUCUUUGUCUCUGCAGCUUCAAAAGAAGAAUCACCAAGUCCAGCAGCUGAAAGACCAGGUUUUAUCCUUAAGUCACGAGAUACAAGAGUGCCGCUCCGAGUUGGAGGUGCUGCAGCAGAGGCGGGAGCGAGAGAACCGGGAAGGCGCAAACCUCCUCUCCAUGCUCAAGGCCGACGUCGACCUGUCCCACAGCGAAAGAGGGGCCCUCCAGGACGCCCUGCGCAGGCUGCUGGGUUUGUUUGGAGAGACGCUGAGGGCAGCCGUCACCCUGAGGAGCCGGAUCGGGGAGCGUGUGGGGCUCUGCCUGGAUGACGCGGGCGCAGGCCUGGCCCCGUCGGCAGCUCCGGCGCUGGAGGAGACGUGGUCUGAUGUGGCCCUCCCGGAGUUGGACAGAACUUUGUCUGAAUGUGCAGAGAUGUCUUCCGUGGCUGAAAUUAGCAGCCACAUGCGUGAAAGCUUUCUCAUGAGCCCAGAAAGUGUGCGGGAGUGUGAGCAGCCCAUCCGGAGGGUCUUCCAGAGCCUCAGCCUGGCCGUGGACGGCCUCAUGGAGAUGGCCCUGGACUCCAGCAGGCAGCUGGAAGAAGCACGCCAAAUUCAUUCUCGUUUUGAAAAAGAAUUUAGUUUUAAGAAUGAGGAGACAGCGCAGGUUGUCAGGAAGCACCAGGAGCUGCUAGAGUGCUUGAAGGAGGAGAGCACAGCCAAGGCAGAGCUGGCGCUGGAGCUGCACAAGACUCAGGGUACCCUUGAGGGAUUCAAGGUGGAGACAGCAGAUCUGAAGGAGGCGCUGGCCGGGAAGGAGGAUUCCGAGCACCGUCUGGUGCUGGAGCUGGAGAGCCUGAGACGGCAGCUGCAGCAGGCGGCCCAGGAGCAGGCGGCGCUGAGGGAGGAGUGCACCCGUCUGUGGAGCCAGGGGGAGGCCACAGCCACGGACGCCGAGGCCAGAGAAGCUGCUCUCCGGAAGGAAGUGGAGGAUCUGACCAAAGAACAGUCGGAGACCAGGAAGCAGGCUGAGAAGGACCGCUCAGCCCUGCUCUCCCAGAUGAAGAUUUUGGAGUCUGAGUUAGAAGAACAGCUGUCUCAGCAUCGCGGGUGUGCCAAGCAGGCGGAGGCCGUCACUGCCCUGGAACAGCAGGUGGCAUCACUGGACAAGCAUUUGCGCAACCAGCGGCAAUUCAUGGAUGAGCAGGCAGCCGAGCGGGAGCACGAGCGCGAGGAGUUCCAGCAGGAGAUUCAGAGGCUGGAGGGGCAGCUCCGCCAGGCGGCCAAGCCGCAGCCCUGGGGCCCUCGCGACAGCCAGCAGGCACCGCUGGAUGGAGAGGUUGAGUUGUUACGACAAAAGUUGAGAGAAAAGUUGGAUGAAUUUAAUGAAUUGGCUAUACAGAAGGAGUCGGCAGAUAGACAAGUGUUAAUGCAGGAAGAAGAAAUUAAACGUCUGGAGGAGAUGAACAUCAACAUCAGGAAAAAAGUGGCCCAGCUCCAGGAAGAAGUGGAAAAACAGAAAAACGUUGUGAAAGGGCUGGAACAGGAUAAAGAGGUGUUAAAGAAACAGCAGAUGAGUAGCUUGCUUCUGGCGUCCACGUUGCAGUCUACACUAGAUGCAGGCAGAUGUCCCGAGCCUCCUUCGGGUAGCCCUCCUGAGGGUCCAGAAGUACAGUUAGAGGUGACACAGAGAGCACUCCUGCGGCACGAGAGUGAGGUUUUGGACUUAAAAGAACAGCUAGAAAAGAUGAAAGGUGACUUAGAAAGUAAAAAUGAAGAAAUACUACAUCUGAACUUAAAAUUGGACAUGCAGAACAGCCAGACUGCAGUCAGCCUCAGAGAACUUGAGGAAGAGAACACGAGCUUGAAGCCGUGCUUUUGAAGCAAAAAAGAAAACCAAAACCAACCUGUUUAUAGUAGAGAUGAUAUUCAAAAUUGCAGAGCAUUCAUAACUUCACAGAUGCCCUUGAAAGACCUUGUGUAGAGUCGUGUGUGUGGUGCCCACACAACACGUGCUCAGUGAGUGAACACAGCGUGGGAGAAUUCUGUGUGUGCGGUGCCCACGCGGCGCGUGCUCGGUGAAUGAACUCAGCGUGGGAGAAUCGUGUGUGUGUGGUGCCCACGCGGCGCGUGCUCGGUGAAUGAACUCAGCGUGGGAGAAUCGUGUGUAUGUGGUGCCCACGCGGCGCGUGCUCGGUGAAUGAACACAGCGUGGGAGAAUUGUGUGUGUGGUGCCCACGCGGCACGUGCUUGGUGAAUGAACUCAGUGUGGGAGAAUCGUGUAUGUGUGGUGCCCACGUGGUGCGUGCUCCGUGAGUGAACACAGCGUGGGAGUGCUCCGUGAGUGAACACAGCGUGGGAGAGUCUCAAAAAACAACAAUAACAACAAAAAAAAUUUUCAAAUUGAUUUUCCAUUUUUCCAAUUUAAAACUGUAGGCUUAUUUAAUUAGGACAUUUCAUAUCUGUAGGGUCAGUGGAAUAUUUCCCUAGUAAGGUUCUGUCGGCUCUGUUUUGAUAUGGUUGUUGUUAUUACCAUUUCCACCGGCAUUUCUGCCCAACAAAGAAGAGGAGAUAGUGCGUGGUGAGCGAGCAGCUCUAGGCACCGCAGGUUUACCUCGGCGAGGUACGCCACUCCCCGGUGCUGGGGGAGAAGGGGAUACUGUGUGUGAGCUAGCAGCUCUAGGCACCGCAGGUUUACCUCAGCGAGGUACGCCACUCCCCGGUGCUGGGGGAGAAGGGGCUCUUCUCACGCUUCUGGCUACGCCUGCGUCUCCUGUACGAAGUCCUCAUAGUUUCUGGGUGUGAUUGACUGGGGCCUUGGCUUUCCAGGAUGACAGUCUUCUGUUUCCUCAUACAAUAUUUAUAAUACUUUUCAAAAUUAAUUUUAUCAGUUGGGCACGGUGGCUCAAACGCCUGUAUUCUCAGCACUUUGGGAGACUGAGGAGGGUGGGUCACUUGAGCUCAGGAGUUCAAGAUCAGCCUAAACAACAUGGCAAAACCCCAUCUCUACUAAAAAUACAAAAAUUAGCCAGGCAUGGUGACACACCACUCCGGAGGCUGAGGCAGGAGAAUCACUUGAACCCAGGAGAUGGAGGAUGCAGUGAGCUGUGAUUGUGCCACUGCACUCCAGCCUGGGCAACAAAGCAAGACCCUGUCUCAAAAACAAAAUUAACUUUAUGGCCGGGCACAGUGGCUCUCACACCUGUAAUCCCAGGAGUUUGGGAACCUGAGGUGGGAGGAUCGUUUGAGCCCAGGAAUUCGAGAUCAGCCUGGACAACGUAAUGAGACCCAUCUCUACAAAUUUUUUAAAAAAAUUUAGCCAGGCAUACACCUAUAGUACCAGCUACUCUGAAGGAUGAGGUAGGAAGAUCACUUGAGCCUGGGAGGCCGAGGCCACAGUGAGCUGUGAUCAUGCCACUGUAAUCCAGCCGUAAUGACACAACAGGACCCUGCCUAAAAAAAAAUAAUUUUGGAGGGGACCAUAGAAGUAAGAAGGAGAAGUUUGUCUCCAGUUUGUCACUUUUAAUUUCCCUUUGACAGAGGCUACUGAGAUAUUAUCUGUCUUAGUAUCUGAUUGUAUCUUGUAUAUUUGGCAAAAAUUUAAAAAUAGCCUUUUGGGUUACAUUGAAGAAUGCCUUUUAUGGCCAGGAGCGGUGGCUCACGCCUGUAAUCCCAGCACUUUGGGAGGCCCAGGCGGGCAGAUCACUUGAGCUCAGGAGUUCGAGACCAGCCUGGCCAACAUGGUGAAACCCCGUCUCUACUAAAAACACAAAAAUUAGCUGGGCCUGGUGGCCGGUGCCUCUAAUGGGUACUUGGGAGGCUGAGGCAGAAGAAUCACUUGAACCCAGGAGGUGGAGGUUGGCAGUGAGCCGAGAUUGCGCCACUGCACUGCAGCCUGGGUGACAGAGCAAGACUCGUCUCAAAAAAAAAAGAAUGCCUUUAAAAACCAUUGAUUACUUUUCAGAAGAAGUUGUAUUAUUUGUCUAUAGUGCUCUAGAACUUGACCUCUAACUAUAAUCUUAUAUAAUGAAAAAUAUAUAAAAAAUAGUUUACAUGUUAAGGACAGUAUUUUUGUUCCAUUAAGAAUUGAAAGCUUUUUAAGGACAAUCCCCAAUAUUUUCUUGUGGGAUUUUUCUUCCAGAUAUGUGCAAAUUCGUACAUCCUUCAUUUUCUAUAAUUCUCCUAAUUUUUUGUAAAGAUGCGGAUGCUAUUUUGCUUUAUAUAAUAAAAAAAAGUAAAAUUCCAUUGAAAGGUUUGACUCUUGUUAGGUUUCCAGUUAUUUCAAGGAAACCACAUUUGCUGUUUUCUACCCUAUUUUAUGUCAGUGAAGAUGUUUGUCUUCUAGAAGUGUCUUUUACACUUGUGGGGAAACGGAGCUCCCGUCUCCCUGGCGUGGUCGUGGUUGUUGUCACUUGUUCUGUACUGCCGUCCUCCGGGGCUCCAGCCAUCCUAACACCUCAUCCUCAAUGUGGGCCCUCCCUUCCUGUGUGGCUUAUUCUAGCUCUGGGGUUAGUGAUGUUUCUUUAAUUUUACCAUUUACUUCUCCCUUAUUCUACAGGUUUUAAUAAAGAGGUCUCACGUCUUUUGUUAAAUUUAUCCUUAAAUAUUUUAGGUUUUUCGCACUAUUGUAAGUGAGAUUUAAAAUAAUUAUCUAGUUGUUUACCGUGAGUACACAUACACCUUUUGUAUGUUAACCUUGCUGUUACCUUGCACAAUUUAUGUAUAUUAGUAGCGUUUUGUGGAUUCCUGAAGGCUUUUUAUGUAUAAGAUAACAUCAUCUUCAGAUAAAGACAGUUUUCUUUCUUUCCAAUUUUUGUUAUUUCCUUCUUUUAUUACAAUGUCUAGCACUUCCAGUACAAAGUUAAAACUGGCUAGGGCAGUCAUCUUUGCCCAGCUCCUUGUCUUACAGGGAAGUGGUCAGUGUUUUGCCAUUAAGUAUAUUAGCUUUAGGUUUUUCACAGGUGCCUUUUUAUCAGAUCAAGGAAGUUCUGUUAUAUUUCUAGUUUGCUUUUUCUGGAUCUAUUGAAAUAGUGAUGAUAUUUUUCUCUUUUAUUCUACUAAUAAGGUUAACUUUAUUGAGUGAUUUAUUUCUUGGAGAUUAAACUAACCUUGCGGUUCUAGGAUAAACUAUACCUGGUAGUGAUGUACUGCCCUUUUCAUAUGUUACAGAUAUUACUGAAUUUGAUUUGCUAAUUUUUUUUAAUGGUUUUUGCAUCUGUGUUCAUGAGGGAUGUUGGUCCAUAAUUGUCUUUUUUUGCAGUGUUUCCUAAGGCUUUGUAUGAAGGUUAUGUUAAUCUCAUAAAAUAGAUUGGGAAUUUUUUCACUUCCUUUUCUGAAAGAGGUUAUUUAACAUAGCUGGGAUUUCUUCUUUGAAUGUUUUCAUAGCAUCAACAAUGAAGCCAUUUGGAGUUUUAUAUCUAGAGAGAUUGAUGAUAAUUAAUUUUCUUUAACAGACUGAGGUAUUUGGAUUUCUGUUUCAUGUUGUGAUAAGUUGUAUUUUUCAAGGAACUUGUGCAUGUCAUCAAAAUUGUCAAAUAUCUUUGCAUAAAGAAGUUUAUACUUUCUCUUUUUUUUUUUUUUUUUGAGACGGAAUCUUGCUCUGUCACCCAGGCUGGAGUGCAAUGGCGUGAUCUCGGCUCCCUGCAACCUCCGCCUCCCGGGUUCAAGUGAGUCUCCUGCCUCAGCCUCCCGAGUAGCUGGGACUACAGGCGCCUGCCACCACGCCCGGCUAAUUAUUUUUGUAUUUUUAGUACAGACGGGGUUUCACCGUGUUAGCCAGAAUGGUCUCGAUCUCCUGACCUCGUGAUCCGCCCGACUCGGCCUCCCAAAGUGCUGGGAUUACAGGCGUGAGCCACCGUGCCCAGUCUAUACUUUCUCAUUUUGUAACUGUUCACCUUAUUAACCAUUUCCUUACUUGCCAUUGAAUAUCUGCAGGUUUUAUGCUGAUGGCCCUCCUUUUAUUCCUGAUAUUAGUGAGUUCUUGUUUUCUCUUUUAUUCUUGAGUCUCUCUAGCUAGUAGUUUAUCCAUGUUGUCAAUGUUUUCAAAGAAUCAGCUUUUGGCUCUGAUACUUUUCUCUCUUUAUUUCUUUGAUUUCUCCUCUUAUUUUCAUUAUUGGCUUCCUUCUAUUUACCUUGGGUUUAUUUUCUCUUCUUUUUCUAGCUUUUUCAGAUAGAACCUUAGGUCAUUGAUUAUAGAUACUUAUUUUUCAGUAUAACAAUUUAAGUUUUUUGUUUUUAGACUUCGUGCAUAGUAAAAUUAGUUUUUUUUAGUAUACAGUUUUAUAAAUUUUGAAAAAAGGAUUUAGUCCUGUAAUAAUCACCACAAUCUCAUCACUCAAAAAAUUUUCUUUGUGCUGUUUCUUUGUGGCCACCCAUCAGGCCUGCUGUCUUCCUGUCUGGAAUUCUGUUUCGAGUCAGGUGUUGUAAUGCACUGGAAAUUGAUGCAUGCUGUCGCCUGUGUCUGUUCCUUUAGUUGCUGAGUACUGUUGUCUGGAUGGACCACAGUUUGUUGAUCCAUUCACCCAUCGAGGGACAUUUGGAUAGUUUCUAGGUUUUGGCAGUGAUGAAU
ensembl:lincRNA